CGCUCCCUGGGAUAUUCGCCAGCUGAAAGUGUUCUUGAGCCGAUAAUCUGUACCCUGGAGGCUUUGCCCAAUGGCGCGGUGUGCAUGUCCGCUUGUCGGAAAGCCUAAAGCGCCGGACUGGCCACCACCUGAACCAUACGGUUCAGGACUAUUUCAGCAGCGGUAUUUUGGGGAUCUC
rnacentral:other from 1 species